CUGCAUCAAAAGGUUUCCAAGGGCCUUGGAAAAUGAUCAAGAGGUGCCAUGCUCUUCAAAAUGACAGUAUUUCCUGUGGUGUUUUCACAGCUGUGUUUGCUGAAGCCUUUCUAGGAGGUGCAAAGGGGUAUCUUGCAUGCUCACAUGUACAGCAAGAGAGGGAGCGACUAGGGUUGCUUCUCUUCAGCUCACUUGAUAGGUCAGGUUUUUGUGGGAUCUGUCACAAGACUUUAUCUAGGAAGAGCAAGGCAAGUGAUUACA